rnacentral:rRNA from 1 species
AUUCUUUCGAUGGUAGGAUAGAGGCCUACCAUGGUGGUAACGGGUAACGGGGUGUUAGGGCACGACACCGGAGAGGGAGCCUGAGAAACGGCUACCACAUCCAAGGAUGGCAGCAGGCGCGCAAAUUACCCAAUCCCGACACGGGGAGGUAGUGACAAUAAAUAACAAUACGGGGUUCUUUUGGAUCUCGUAAUUGGAAUGAGUACAAUUUAAAUCUCUUAACGAGGAACAAUUGGAGGGCAAGUCUGGUGCCAGCAGCCGCGGUAAUUCCAGCUCCAAUAGCGUAUACUAAAGUUGUUGCAGUUAAAAAGCUCGUAGUUGAAUUUCGGGAUCAGUAGGUUGGUCAUGCCUAUGGUAUGUACUGGCUUUACUGGUUCCUCCUUCUUGAUGAUCUGUAAUGUCAUUAAUUUGGUGUUGCAGGGAGUCAGGACUGUUACUUUGAAAAAAUUAGAGUGUUUAAAGCAGGCAUACGCUUGAAUACAUUAGCAUGGAAUAAUGAAAUAGGACGUUCGAUCCUAUUUUGUUGGUUUCUAGGAUCGAUGUAAUGAUUAAUAGGGAUAGUUGGGGGCAUUAGUAUUCAAUUGUCAGAGGUGAAAUUCUUGGAUUUAUUGAAGACUAACUACUGCGAAAGCAUUUGCCAAGGAUGUUUUCAUUAAUCAAGAACGAGAGUUAGGGGAUCGAAGACGAUCAGAUACCGUCGUAGUCUUAACCAUAAACUAUGCCGACUAGGAAUCGGGCGAUGUUGAAAAAAUGACGCGCUCGGCACCUCAUGGGAAACCAAAGUGUUUGGGUUC